rnacentral:misc_RNA from 1 species
AACGCACAUUGCGCCCCAUGGUAUUCCAUUGGGCACACCCGUUCGAGCGUCAUUGCAACACUCAGGCACCGCCUGGUAUUGGGCGCCGCCCGCCGAGGGCGCGCCUUAAACUCCUCGGCGUCGCCGUCCGUCCUCGAGCGCAGCGAGAACUCUUCCAGCGCUACCGAGGCGGGCCGUGGCCGCCGCAACGCACAAUUCUUUCAAUGUUGACCUCGGAUCGGGUGGGGAUACCCGCUGAACUUAA